UUUUAUGGAUGAGCAAAGAAAGUGGUUUCUUGAGAUAGAAUAUACUCCUGGUGAAGAAGCUGUAAA
rnacentral:pre_miRNA from 4 species